AGGACGAACGCUGGCGGCGUGCUUAACACAUGCAAGUCGAACGGAAAGGCCCUUCGGGGUACUCGAGUGGCGAACGGGUGAGUAACACGUGGGUGAUCUGCCCUGCACUUUGGGAUAAGCCUGGGAAACUGGGUCUAAUACCGAAUAUACCCUGCUGGUCGCAUGGCCUGGUGGGGGAAAGCUUUUGCGGUGUGGGAUGGGCCCGCGGCCUAUCAGCUUGUUGGUGGGGUGAUGGCCUACCAAGGCGACGACGGGUAGCCGGCCUGAGAGGGUGUCCGGCCACACUGGGACUGAGAUACGGCCCAGACUCCUACGGGAGGCAGCAGUGGGGAAUAUUGCACAAUGGGCGCAAGCCUGAUGCAGCGACGCCGCGUGAGGGACGACGGCCUUCGGGUUGUAAACCUCUUUCAGUAGGGACGAAGCGCGAGUGACGGUACUACAGAAGAAGGACCGGCCAACUACGCGCCAGCAGCCGC
rnacentral:rRNA from 1 species